ensembl:lncRNA
ACAGGGUAAAUGUUGAACGCUGGAGAGAAAGGAAACCUUCCAAAAAAGGCAUCUAUGUGUCGCCAAUAAAAAAGUCUUUUCCAUUCAAGACAGCCAAAGUGGCUGCAGUUAAAGGCAGCCAGAAGCCAGUGGAAGGACAGAAGACAGUCUCUGACAGUAGUUUGACUGGAACCAAGCCAGAUAAGGAACUUUUACGGAAAACUGACAUUCUCCCAAGCAAACAUGGCAGUACAAAAAAAUCUAUUAACAAGAAUUACGGUCCAUGCUGGCAAGGAGCAGACCCCUCCAAAAAUAUACCAGUAAAAAGACUACAAAUUCCUCCACAGGCCCCAAAAGGUAGCAAAAUGACUGCCUUACUCCAUCCACACCAUUGGCUUAGCUGUGACGAGAUUGAUUUUGCGUCUUACUUGCUUGCAAAUGAGUACCCACACAUCGAUGGCUUUCAGUCAACUCUUUUAUUCAGCGUUUUACAUAAUGGAGGUGUUGUGGGUACUCCAAGCGGGCAGUUUGUACAAAUUCUACACACUGGGGGCAACCACUGGGUAACUGCUAGCAACCUGUUUUGCCCAAAAAAUCAGGUUUUCAUAUACGACAGUCUGUCAACAGUGAUGUACAACAAAGAAAAACAAAUCCUGUCUUGGUUGCUUAG